GAUGAACGCUGGCGGCGUGCCUAAUACAUGCAAGUCGAGCGAACAGACGAGGAGCUUGCUCCUCUGACGUUAGCGGCGGACGGGUGAGUAACACGUGGAUAACCUACCUAUAAGACUGGGAUAACUUCGGGAAACCGGAGCUAAUACCGGAUAAUAUAUUGAACCGCAUGGUUCAAUAGUGAAAGCCGGUUUUGCUGUCACUUAUAGACGGAUCCGCGCCGCAUUAGCUAGUUGGUAAGGUAACGGCUUACCAAGGCAACGAUGCGUAGCCGACCUGAGAGGGUGAUCGGCCACACUGGAACUGAGACACGGUCCAGACUCCUACGGGAGGCAGCAGUAGGGAAUCUGCCGCAAUGGGCGAAAGCCUGACGGAGCAACGCCGCGUGAGUGAUGAAGGUCUUCGGAUCGUAAAACUCUGUUAUUAGGGAAGAACAAAUGUGUAAGUAACUAUGCACGUCUUGACGGUACCUAAUCAGAAAGCCACGGCUAACUACGUG
rnacentral:rRNA from 1 species